CUGAAUCACAGCCCUCUGAGAUUUAGAAAAGCGCAAAUACUAACUCUAAAGCCUAGUAGGUGAAAGGAUGAAGGCUACUGGUAUAUUAACAUGCCUUCCUUUCUCGGAUUCCUGGAGAAUGUCUCCAGGCUUUCCAAAGGCAGUAUAUCUGACAUCUGCAGUUAAAUGGAUGGUAAUCACCAAAAGUUGGAAUGUGGACACAAUGGUAAUAGGGAAUGAUAGUUUUCUACUUGUUUUAAUCAAGAUAGCACAGAUGGCUAAAGAGAAAAGCUGGAGGACAUGCUGGCUCUUCUCCAUUUGCCCUUCCAGACCCACACUUCCGUUUCUGCUCUGCCCUGGAAGGUGGACCUGAAUAGGUCCCAUCAGCACACCCAUUCCAUGAAGCUGUUGGUUUUGAGAAACCAAUACACACGUCUCUCACCAGUAAAACCUGACAAGGAGAGUGAAGGUCAAGCACUUCAAGGCAAUUGGCAUGUCACUGACGUCAGUAAAGGAAGGCUAAUUGCUGAGAAGAUGAUUCAUGUUGUUUUGAAUGAAAAAGAAAUGGAUUUCUCUGUACCUUUCCCAUCUCUCUAUGUCCCAAUCCUGUGCCCAUGAGAUAUUUUUCCAGAAGAUCCUCUGAGAUCUAUAGACAUUCUGAUUGCAUUUACUUAUUAAACUGGAAGAAGCUUUAGAAAUCAUCCAGACUGAUUCCCUCACUAAAUGGAAGAAGACACAGACACAGAUAGGGCACUCAGUAACCUAAUGUCACACAGUGACUUACCAAUCAGUAAGGCUCUAGUCUUCUGAUUUCCAGACUUGAAUUCUUUGUCACUCAGUACUACUCCCUCAACCAAUGAUUUGACCGAUAAGACUACCUAGAUGGAGGAUAGGUGAGAAAGAUCACUUACUGAUCACCUACCAUAUGAUAGUCAUUGUGCAUUUAACCUUCAUUGAGCAUUAUAACUACAUUAAAAGCUGAAAUUAUCUUAAUUUUAUAGAUAAGGGACUUAAGGGCCAGAAAUUUUAAGUGAUUUGUCUAUAUGCACUGAGCAGGAAAGUGGCAGAACCUAGUUUUAAAACUGAAUCACCCCAAUUCCAGAGCUCAUGUCUAUUCCAGUAAUGACAUAUCCAUAGCUGAACCUUGGUCUUUCUUCUCUCCUCUUCCAUCCCUCCUCUCUUCUUCAGUCUCUGUCUCAGUGUGUGUGUCUUCCCCUUUCUCCCUGCCCUCCUUUCUCUCUCCCAGUAAAUGGAACCACCAUCUACACAAUGGUUCAAACCAGUAGCUCCCUCUUUCAAAUCCCACCUAUUCAAGCUUCAAGUUCUGUACAUGUUACCUCCUAAAAAUCCAACUACUCUCUCCCCGUUGUCAUGACCCUUAAUCAUGGCAUCUCCAGAUGCCACCUGGACCAUUGUAGAAGACUUCUAAUUCACCUCUCCAUCUCUAUUCUCCACACUGGAGCUCAGGGACCUUUUUAUUUGACCAUAUCACUUCUCUACCUAAAACUCAGUGAUGGCUUCCCAUUGACAUGGGGACAAACCACAAAUCCCUCGUAGUGUUCAUGAACCCUUCUCAGGGCUGGUGUCUCUGUUCCCCUGUUAGGACCCCUCUCUCUCC
rnacentral:lncRNA from 1 species